UACGUAGGGGGCAAGCGUUGUCCGGAAUCAUUGGGCGUAAAGAGCGUGUAGGCGGUCCGAUAAGUCCGCUCUGAAAGCCCGGGGCUCAACCCCGGGAGGCGGAUGGAUACUGCAAGGCUCGAGUCCGGAAGAGGCAAGUGGAAUUCCUGGUGUAGCGGUGAAAUGCGCAGAUAUCAGGAGGAACACCGAUUGCGAAGGCAGCUCGCUGGGACGUAACUGACGCUGAGACGCGAAAGCGUGGGGAGCAAACAGG
rnacentral:rRNA from 1 species